rnacentral:rRNA from 1 species
UACGGAGGGUGCGAGCGUUGUCCGGAAUCACUGGGCGUAAAGGGCGCGUAGGUGGCGCGGGCAGUCAACGGUGAAAGUUCGGGGCUCAACCCUGAAUCGGCCGUCGAUACUCCCGUGCUGGAGCACUGUAGAGGCUAAUGGAAUUCCGGGUGUAGCGGUGGAAUGCGUAGAGAUCCGGAAGAACACCGGUGGCGAAGGCGGUUAGCUGGGCAGUUGCUGACACUGAGGCGCGGACAGCGUGGGGAGCAAACAGG